rnacentral:rRNA from 1 species
GUCCCAAGGGUAUGGCUGUUCGCCAUUUAAAGUGGUACGCGAGCUGGGUUUAGAACGUCGUGAGACAGUUCGGUCCCUAUCUGCCGUGGGCGCAGGAAAUUUGAGAAGAGUUGCUCCUAGUACGAGAGGACCGGAGUGAACGAACCUCUGGUGUUCGGGUUGUUACGCCAGUAGCAUUGCCCGGUAGCUAUGUUCGGACAGGAUAACCGCUGAAAGCAUCUAAGCGGGAAGCCCCCUUCGAGACGAGAUUUCCCUUAGGACUUGAUCCUACUAAAGUGCCGUUCAAGACGAGGACGUUGAUAGGCUGGGUGUGUAAGCGUUGUGAGGCGUUGAGCUAACCAGUACUAAUUGCACGUGAGGCUUGACCAUAUAAUCAUGGGUU